UAGGGAAUCUUCCGCAAUGGGCGAAAGCCUGACGGAGCAACGCCGCGUGAGUGAUGAAGGUCUUCGGAUCGUAAAACUCUGUUAUUAGGGAAGAACAUAUGUGUAAGUAACUGUGCACAUCUUGACGGUACCUAAUCAGAAAGCCACGGCUAACUACGUGCCAGCAGCCGCGGUAAUACGUAGGUGGCAAGCGUUAUCCGGAAUUAUUGGGCGUAAAGCGCGCGUAGGCGGUUUUUUAAGUCUGAUGUGAAAGCCCACGGCUCAACCGUGGAGAGUCAUUGGAAACUGGAAAACUUGAGUGCAGAAGAGGAAAGUGGAAUUCCAUGUGUAGCGGUGAAAUGCGCAGAGAUAUGGAGGAACACCAGUGGCGAAGGCGACUUUCUGGUCUGUAACUGACGCUGAUGUGCGAAAGCGUGGGGAUCAAACAGGAUUAGAUACCCUGGUAGUCCACGCCGUAAACGAUGAGUGCUAAGUGUUAGGGGGUUUCCGCCCCUUAGUGCUGCAGCUAACGCAUUAAGCACUCCGCCUGGGGAGUACGACCGCAAGGUUG
rnacentral:rRNA from 1 species